GAGGGACUGGCAGAAGGGUAAUGCGUAGCUCUCCUAUGAUUGGACAGUUAGACGUCCCGAAAGGGAUUGUCUAGGACCAAGCUAAGCUAAGAUUGUGGGUUCGAGUCCCACGUUCCUCG